rnacentral:rRNA from 1 species
UACGGAGGAUCCAAGCGUUAUCCGGAAUCAUUGGGUUUAAAGGGUCCGUAGGCGGUUUUGUAAGUCAGUGGUGAAAGCCCAUCGCUCAACGGUGGAACGGCCAUUGAUACUGCAAGACUUGAAUUACUAGGAAGUAACUAGAAUAUGUAGUGUAGCGGUGAAAUGCUUAGAUAUUACAUAGAAUACCAAUUGCGAAGGCAGGUUACUACUAGUGGAUUGACGCUGAUGGACGAAAGCGUGGGGAGCGAACAGG